GCUGGGUGUGGUGGUGCACCCCUGUAAUCCCAGUGACUCGGGAGGCUAAGGCAGGAGGAUCAUGAGUUGAAAACCAGCCUCAGCAAAAAGCAAGGCAUUAAGCAACUCAGUGAGACCUUGUCUCUA
rnacentral:sRNA from 1 species